CUCGCUUUGGUGUUCGACUUGCUAACGAAGAAUGUUGAAGACGAAGAUAAGAAGGCCACACCGAGAGAGAGAGGCUUUGCAGGCACCGCAAGGUAUCUGGAGACCCUUUUCACCCUCCCCACGAGAGGAAGGUUUAGGGUCGGUGGUCGACCGCCGAAGGAGGAGGAGGAGGCUGGGGUCCACCGGAGCGGAUAAGCACGCCGCGAGCCGGCGGCGAAGGGUAGGAGCGAAGGCGAUGGCCUGGUGGGACAAGGCCGUGGCUUUCCCCGUGAAGCGUGCCUACGUCGCCGUCGCCGCCGCCGCCGCCCGGGUUAAGGCUCCAAACCCCAGUGAGCUCAUCCGCCUCCUUAUCCUGCUUCUUCACAUUAAGCAUACCAUGUGAAUCGGAGGACCGGAGGUGAGAAUAGCAUGCUUCUCGAUGAACAUGUCAUCGUCGUCAUCAUCUCUUCACCUAUGGCAUGUCCUGUCAUCUUCUUAUGGCGUGAUGAUUGCAGAAGAAAAGAAACAUCUUUGCACAGCCUCUUCUACAGAGCUUUUAGGUGGGUGCUAAAUUGUGGGACAACCUGAAUUCGAAACUGAGAGUCCUAAUAGCACUGUUGAGUUGGUACUUGGUGUUAUGAGGACGCUAACAAGUUGACUCUUGAAGCUAUUAUGUGGAGUCCUAAUUCGUGGGUAUAUAUGCAGUCUUACCUCUACAAGCAGAGAGUCUCUUUCGACGGUGUACAUCGAGUAAUUUAGUUUGUCAUGAUCAUUUAUUUGUUGUAGACAAGCAAUCAAGUUCAAGUUCUAUGUGAUGAUCAUUUGGAUGGCCAAAGGUGGUGGAAUUCAGAAGCUUCACGAUGAUGUUCAGAUGUGUGGAUACCAGGAUGUGCAGGUCAUGUGGGAGAUGGUGAGGAGAUCAGAAAUGGAGUUAUCGAACAAGCGCAAAAGGUGCAAGAGACUGCUGUGGAGGCUACCGACUUGGUCGAAUCGAACAUCUUCCACUGAUCUCAUGGAUCCUCACUGAGAGAGUUUGGCAGUAGCCUUGAGCAGGAUUCAGCUGAUACUAAUUGCAUCUGCCCCUCCUUUUCUACCACCAGUGAGAUGUAAGAAAUAAAAGUGUGAUAGUGAGCUUGAACAAACAUUAGCUAGUAUAUUUCUCUCCCCUGUCUCACACAAUGAGAUACAAGAAUUGUGUACAUUAUCCAGAUCAUGUGUAUAUGUGAAUAUUACUAUCAGGAAUGGCACCCCAAAAUUAAAAGGA